UGGCGGCGGCGGUUUCGAUUCGAUUGCAAAGAAUGAUGGGUCAAUAUAUUGGCCAGUCGUAAAGCGUUUACUUUGAAACCGUACAAAGAGCGAAUCAAAACAGCCGUCUUAUUUUACACGUUCGCUAUGGAUUAUGGGGCUGUGAAUCUUUUAGCCAAUGGUGAAGUGUGUACUUUGAAAUCGUAAAGAACCGAAUCAAAACAGGCGCCCGUUUCUCGAAACACACGAGAAUUCUCGGGCCCGAAAAGUUUAUUUUGCAUUUUUGCUCAAAAUUUCGCAUGUUUUCCUUCUGGAGAACCGCUUUCAUGUUUUAGAAACAGUUUAAACUUCCUCUUGGUUCGUAUUCCAAAUGAUUGCGCUCAAUAGCGCUAUUUUCGAAGUUUUGCUAAAGCCAAAAAGUUACCCGAAAAGUCUCGGGGACUGCGGGGUCCCGAGAACUUUCUAAAUAUUUUAGCCAUGUGAAUUUCGAGCCCGAGAAGUCGGGAAAGAUCAAAAUCGGUAAAACCAAAAAGAGGAUUAUUCCUCACAUGAAUCUUUGUGGUAAAAUACUAUAAAUUUUAAAGGAAUUAGCCAGCUUUUAAAAUUUAAGGAAUAAAACGUUUUUGGGUAACUUAUUAUAUCUCUAGUCGCCAUUUUGAUUUAAUUGUGGCAAAUUUUGUGAGUUGUUCUACUUCAAGAAAUUCUUUUGAGCGUCGAAUCCUAUCAAAAAUCAAAUCAAAUCGACAAUUAAGUUCUUAGCUUCUCAAGCAGUGGAAUUGCAUGUUAAUUGUUAGACCAUGUGAAUCACAUGAAACUCAACCAAGCAGUUUUCUCAGUACAACAUUUAAGAGUAAAACGAAAUUCUCAAAAACUAGAGCUUACAUAUGGCAAAUUCAAGUUAAAGAGACAGUUACAAACAUCCUUCAGUCACCACAGCCUUCUUCUGUUCUGUUCAUGCUAUACCAUACGAGCUACAAGCAGCAAUAACUUAAAAGGAGAGCAAAACAAGUGCAGUUGAAAAGAAAAAUUACACUCAGCAACAUCAUGUACCAAGAUCAACAAUCAGAAAUUACCAAGAUAUUAUUGUCUUGCCAUGCUGUGUCAAGGAAAAUACUACAAAACCAUUACAAAAUCAUGGCCACAUCACUUAUUGCACUAAAGAGCUUACUUAACCAGUGAACUAGAAAUGCAUGACAUGCAACUGCAGUCUGUGACAACUUCCUACACUGAUGUAUCACACAGGAAAAAAGCUACCGCUACUAUGUGGCACUACAA